UUCGUGUGAACAGUGGUUGAUCACGAGUUAGUCGGUCCUAAGUUCAAGGCGAAAGCCGAAAAUUUUCAAGUUAAUAUUGUUAAUAAUAAAAAUAUAUAUGAAUAUAUAUAUAUGAAAAAAUUUGUUUAUAUUUUAUACACUUGAAUAAUUUUGAACGAAAGGGAAUACGGUUCCAAUUCCGUAACCUGUUGAGUAUCCGUUUGUUAUUAAAUAUGGGCCUCGUGCUCAUCCUGGCAACAGGAACGACCAUAAAGAAGCCGUCGAGAGAUAUCGGAAGAGUUUUCUUUUCUGUUUUAUAGCCGUACUACCAUGGAAGUCUUUCGCAGAGAGAUAUGGUAGAUGGGUUAGAAGAGCAUGACAUAUACUGUUGUGUCGAUAUUUUCUCCUCGGACCUUGAAAAUUUAUGGUGGGGAUACGCAAACUUCUCAACAGGCCGUACCAAUAUCCGCAGCUGGUCUCCAAGGUGAAGAGUCUCUAGUCGAUAGAAUA
rnacentral:rRNA from 1 species